GAUGAAGAACGCAGCGAAAUGCGAUAAGUAGUGUGAAUUGCAGAAUUCAGUGAAUCAUCGAAUCUUUGAACGCACAUUGCGCCCGCUGGUAUUCCGGCGGGCAUGCCUGUUCGAGCGUCAUUUCAACCCUCAAGCCCCCGGGUUUGGUGUUGGGGAUCGGCUCUGCCCUUCUGGGCGGUGCCGCCCCCGAAAUACAUUGGCGGUCUCGCUGCAGCCUCCAUUGCGUAGUAGCUAACACCUCGCAACUGGAACGCGGCGCGGCCAUGCCGUAAAACCCCAACUUCUGAAUGUUGACCUCGGAUCAGGUAGGAAUACCCGCUGUACUUAAGCAUAUCAAUAAGCGGAGGA
rnacentral:misc_RNA from 1 species